rnacentral:rRNA from 1 species
UACGAAGGGGGGCUAGCGUUGCUCGGAAUCACUGGGCGUAAAGGGCGCGUAGGUGGUUUGCCAAGUCGGGGUUGAAAUCUUUCGGCUUAACCGGAAAAGUGGCUUCGAUACUGGCAAGCUGGAGGGAGGUAGGGGCGGAGUGGAACUUCCGGUGGAGCGGUGAAAUGUGUUGAUAUCGGAAGGAACGCCGGUGGCGAAAGCGAUCCGCUGGACCUCUUCUGACACUGAGGUGCGAAAGCCAGGGAGCAAACGGG